AGCAUACGUGAUUUGAGACCAAAUCAAGUUGGCUAAAAUAAAUAGUUGAAUAAUCAUCAUUCAACUUUUUUUGUUUACCUAUUCGCUUUAGAAACGAUGUUUUAAUCAGUUUAUUCGGUAUCUGCGGACAAAAAUAAUAUGCAUUGUAAAGGGUAAAAAACUUAGCCUAAGUACUAUAACUCCAACUCUCCUAAGGGGGAGUUGAAGUUACGGUCUUCUUCGAGAACCUGUUAUGUGAAAUUCAAUAGGUUCUAGCUAAGAGUAAUUAGAAAACGGAUAUUUGUGACAUUUCAUAUCUUCAUCUUAUAAACCAAUGGUAUUAGAAUUAGGUGACAUUGUAUAAUCAAGAAAAAUAUAGUUAUUUUUGGUAACUGUA